GAGACAUGAUGAUGUUUACAUUGGUCCGUGUUUCUGAUUUACUGUGACCGACAACCUUUUUCCAAUUUCUGAUCUC
rnacentral:snoRNA from 1 species